rnacentral:rRNA from 1 species
AGCGGGAAAAGCUCAAAUUUAAAAUCUGGCAGAUGCUUGUCUGUCCGAGUUGUAACCUAGAAAAGUGUAACCUGUGCUGGACCGUGUACAAGUCUCCUGGAAUGGAGCAUCAUAGAGGGUGAGAAUCCCGUCUUUGACAUGGACUACCAGUGCAUUGUGGUUGUGCACUCAACGAGUCGAGUUGUUUGGGAAUGCAGCUCUAAAUGGGUGGUAAAUUCCAUCUAAAGCUAAAUAUUGGCGAGAGACCGAUAGCGAACAAGUACCGUGAGGGAAAGAUGAAAAGAACUUUGGAAAGAGAGUUAAACAGUAUGUGAAAUUGUUGAAAGGGAAACGCUUGAAGUCAGCUGCAUUGGCUGGGGAUCAAGCCAGCUUAUUUGCUGGGUGUACUUCCUGGUUGAUGGGCCAACAUCAGUUUUGACCAUCAGAAAAAGGCAAAGGGAAUGUGGCAUCUUUAUAGGUGUGUUAUAGCCCUUGGUUGUAUGUGGUGGUUGGGACUGAGGA